AUUGAACGCUGGCGGCAUGCUUUACACAUGCAAGUCGAACGGUAACAGGCCUUCGGGUGCUGACGAGUGGCGAACGGGUGAGUAAUGCAUCGGAACGUGCCCAGAGGUGGGGGAUAACGCAGCGAAAGCUGUGCUAAUACCGCAUGUGAUCUGAGGAUGAAAGCGGGGGACCAAGCAGCAAUGUUUGGCCUCGCGCCUCUAGAGCGGCCGAUGUCAGAUUAGGUAGUUGGUGGGGUAAAGGCCUACCAAGCCGACGAUCUGUAGCUGGUCUGAGAGGACGACCAGCCACACUGGGACUGAGACACGGCCCAGACUCCUACGGGAGGCAGCAGUGGGGAAUUUUGGACAAUGGGCGCAAGCCUGAUCCAGCAAUGCCGCGUGCGGGAAGAAGGCCUUCGGGUUGUAAACCGCUUUUGUACGGAACGAAAAGGCUCUGGCUAAUACCUGGGGCUGAUGACGGUACCAUAAGAAUAAGCACCGGCUAACUACGUG
rnacentral:rRNA from 1 species